CCUACGGGUGGCAGCAGUGGGGAAUAUUGCACAAUGGGCGAAAGCCUGAUGCAGCAACGCCGCGUGAAGGAAGAAGGGUUUCGGCUCGUAAACUUCUAUCAACAGGGACGAAAGACAUGACGGUACCUGACUAAUAAGCCCCGGCUAACUACGUGCCAGCAGCCGCCGGAAUACGUAGGGGGCAAGCGUUAUCCGGAAUUACUGGGUGUAAAGGGUGAGUAGGCGGCAUGGUAAGCCAGAUGUGAAAGCCUUGGGCUUAACCCGAGGAUUGCAUUUGGAACUAUCAAGCUAGAGUACAGGAGAGGAAAGCGGAAUUCCUAGUGUAGCGGUGAAAUGCUUAGAUAUCGCGCAGAACCCCGAUUGCGAAGGCAGCGUACCGGCUCCAAACUGACGCUGAGGCACGAAAGCGUGGGUAUCGAACAGGAUUAGAUACCCCAGUAGUC
rnacentral:rRNA from 1 species